UUACGGGAGGCAGCAGUGGGGAAUGUUGGACAAUGGGCGCAAGCCUGAUCCAGCCAUGGCGCGUGAGUGAUGAAGGCCUUCGGGUUGUAAAGCUCUUUUGUCCGGGAAGAUAAUGACUGUACCGGAAGAGUAAGCCCCGGCAAACUUCGUGCCAGCAGCCGCGGUAAUACGAAGGGGGCUAGCGUUGUUCGGAUUUACUGGGCGUAAAGCGCACGUAGGCGGCUUGUUAAGUCAGAGGUGAAAUCCCAGGGCUCAACCCUGGAACUGCCUUUGAUACUGGCAGGCUCGAGUAUGGUAGAGGUUGGUGGAACUGCGAGUGUAGAGGUGAAAUUCGUAGAUAUUCGCAAGAACACCAGUGGCGAAGGCGGCCAACUGGACCAUUACUGACGCUGAGGUGCGAAAGCGUGGGGAGCAAACAGGAUUAGAUACCCGUGUAGUCCC
rnacentral:rRNA from 1 species